GAUGAAGAACGCAGCGAAAUGCGAUAAGUAAUGUGAAUUGCAGAAUUCAGUGAAUCAUCGAAUCUUUGAACGCACAUUGCGCCCCUUGGUAUUCCGAGGGGCAUGCCUGUUCGAGCGUCAUUAUCACCCCUCAAGCUUUGCUUGGUGUUGGGGCCUGCUGUAAUAGGCAGCCCUUAAAAUCAGUGGCGGUGCUUCAAGGCUCUAAGCGUAGUAAUUCUCCUCGCUAUAGUGUCUAGUGGUUGCCAGCCAGAACCCCCCAAUUUUCAUGAUUGACCUCGGAUCAGGUAGGGAUACCCGCUGAUCUUAAGCAUAUCAAUAAGCGGAGGA
rnacentral:misc_RNA from 1 species